rnacentral:misc_RNA from 1 species
AUGAAGAACGUAGCGAAAUGCGAUACGUAAUGUGAAUUGCAAAUUCAGUGAAUCAUCGAGUCUUUGAACGCACAUUGCGCCCCCUGGUAUUCCGGGGGGCAUGCCUGUCCGAGCGUCAUUGCUGCCCUCAAGCACGGCUUGUGUGUUGGGCCCCGUCCUCCGAUUCCGGGGGACGGGCCCGAAAGGCAGCGGCGGCACCGCGUCCGGUCCUCGAGCGUAUGGGGCUUUGUCACCCGCUCUGUAGGCCCGGCCGGCGCUUGCCGAUCAACCCAAAUUUUUAUCCAGGUUGACCUCGGAUCAGGUAGGGAUACCCGCUGAACUUAAGCAUAUCAAUAAGCGGGGA